GUAGGGAAUAUUGGGCAAUGGAUGGAAGUCUGACCCAGCCAUGCCGCGUGCCGGAAGAAGGCGCUACGCGUUGUAAACUGCUUUUAACCGGGAAGAAACCCCAGGACGUGUCCUGGGUUGACGGUACCGGAGGAAUAAGCACCGGCUAACUUCGUGCCAGCAGCCGCGGUAAUACGAAGGGUGCAAGCGUUAUCCGGAUUCAUUGGGUUUAAAGGGUGCGUAGGCGGAGCGUUAAGUCAGUGGUGAAAUCCUGCAGCUUAACUGUAGACUUGCCAUUGAUACUGGCGCUCUUGAGUGCGCUUGAAGUGGGCGGAAUGUGCCGUGUAGCGGUGAAAUGCUUAGAUAUGGCACAGAACACCAAUUGCGAAGGCAGCUCACUAAGGCGAUACUGACGCUGAGGCACGAAAGCGUGGGGAUCGAACAGGAUUAGAAACCCGUGUAGUCC
rnacentral:rRNA from 1 species